AAAUAAUCGUGAACAUGCCGCUGCACACUGGGUUAUCGCACGUAUCUCGGGCGACGUGAUGGUUACACAUCCUACGGCGACUACAGUCUGUCACCUGUUCGGUCCGUGUCUGUGCGUUAAUCAAACACAGCGCAAUCCAUUUGUAAGCAGCUACUGUCGUUACACUAACACACACACACACACUUACACACACACACACACAUAUGACAGCGCAUCACGAGCAGCAGCAGCUCGAACGUGACAUAUGGCGAUGUACUUUUAUGCCAGUAAGAUAUCUGACGCAGCCCGCGGCACGCGUUGCCAGCAAUCCGUGCUGCAAAAGUCGCGCGGUCAACGGGAUCGUGGCAGGCACAUAUACAUACAUAUAUGUACGUAUAUCGGCAGCAUACGCCUUGCCAUCUGUGCCAGUUAGACAGCAGUGCGGCCGGAGCUAAAAAGCCAGCUAAAACUGCUGACUUGAACAUUUUCACGCCUAGCGACGACAGCUGGAACAUUCCAUAAGCCAAAGUAUUGAAUUGGGUUGAAAAGUGGAGCAGCUGAAUGAACACGAAUUGAAAUCAGAGCUACAGCAGUGCACGGGAAUAGAGCAGCGCAGCAGGGCGGUAAAGCUGCGCAGAGGCGUGUGUUGGCAUUAUCUGCUGCCUUGUUGACAACUGCGAUUGGCCAGCAAGAGGUCGAUAUUGAA